AGGGCGAGGUCCAUCGAAGAACCUCACUCUGGAGCAUUGGAGAUGCGAGCAUCCGAGAUAGCAUCUCCGGAUCGAGAUACCGACCCGCUAUACCAGACCCAUUAGGGGAUGGUAUAAGCCAUCGUAAACUGAGCUGGGCAUCAUAUACCGCAGUUAUGCCCCCGUGAUGUUCUUCAAUUGACGUCACAUUCUACCGACUCAGAGAGAGAUUUUCUACAUCCACUUACAGAUAAAAUAAAUUAUAUUAUGAAUAUUUAAUUUGCAUAACAUUCUUCUAAUAUUUGUUAUUAGUAGGGUGUAUUUGACAUCGCUGAUUUUGAGAAGGAUCAUUUGAGGUGAGCCAUCGACACUCAGUUGUCAUUGUAUUUCAAGGACUAUCACCAUCACAUGCAUCAGCGUUGGUAUCGGGUGGUGCAGGAUCAUGAGGAGGAGGCAGUGCGGCAGCAGUCCUAUGACAGCAUCACUAUAGACAAUUGGACUACCAUAUGCCGGCAUUACGAGGAUCCAGCAUAUCAGAGAUGAUGUGCCCAGAAUGCGACAAAUCAGAUGAGAUAGAUCAUGCCGCAUUGUGGGGGUUCGAGAUCGUUUGCUCGUCAUAUGGAGCACAUGAGAGAUGCUGAGAGUGGCGAGCUUCCUGGUAAGAUCGAUAUCUACCAGCAGACCCACCAGCGACAGUCGGAGGAGUGGACAAUGAGGAGCCAGGAGC